UACAGAGGUCCCGAGCGUUGUUCGGAUUCACUGGGCGUAAAGGGUGCGUAGGCGGUUCUGAAAGUCUGACGUGAAAUCUCCGGGCCCAACCCGGAAAUGGCAUUAGAAACUACAGGGCUAGAGGCUUGGAGGGGGAACUGGAAUUCUCGGUGUAGCAGUGAAAUGCGUAGAGAUCGAGAGGAACACCAGUGGCGAAGGCGAGUUCCUGGACAAGUCCUGACGCUGAGGCACGAAAGCCAGGGGAGCAAACAGG
rnacentral:rRNA from 1 species